rnacentral:lncRNA from 1 species
GGCUUUGGCGAGUGGGUGGGUGGGUGGCUGCGGGACUGGCUACUGGGUGGGUGGAUGGCCGUGGCUGCGGGACUGAACUGAAGGACGAGAACGGAGAAGGGACGAGAAUGGUGAGGAGUCUGGCGAUCGUCUGAGACUGAGGUUUGAGAGAGAGGUUUGAGAGAGAGGGAGGUAGGUGGGACUUGGGAAGUGCCGAUUGCAAAGUGAAAGUGAUAUAAUAACCUAUCAUAAAACGCAGCGUUUAAAGCUAAUUCGGUCGGUUCGGUUCGACCGAAUUAUUUUGUCUCCAAAACCGAACCGAACCGAUCAACCCGAAAUUUUUAAAAAUUAAAACCAAACCGAACCGAUUUUAUUUUAAAACCGAACCAAAUUACUAAAUUAAAUCGGUUCGGUCGGUUAUUUCGGUUCUAACCGAAAAAUGCUCACCCC